rnacentral:misc_RNA from 1 species
GAUGAAGAACGUAGCGAAAUGCGAUAAGUAAUGUGAAUUGCAGAAUUCAGUGAAUCAUCGAAUCUUUGAACGCACAUUGCGCCCGCUAGUAUUCUGGCGGGCAUGCCUGUCCGAGCGUCAUUUCAACCCUCAAGCCCCCGUGCUUGGUGUUGGGGAUCGGCGAGCCUCCGCGCCCGCCGUCCCCUAAAUCUAGUGGCGGUCUCGCUGUAGCUUCCUCUGCGUAGUAGCACACCUCGCACUGGGAAACAGCGCGGCCACGCCGUUAAACCCCCAACUUCUGAACGUUUGACCUCGGAUCAGGUAGGAAUACCCGCUGAACUUAAGCAUAUCAAUAAGCGGAGGA